ensembl:snoRNA
CUGCAGACGUUUCUAACGAGGCUGAGCGGCCGUGGCUCUGUCCUCAUUACUCGCUCUGCUAGAGACACGAGGGGCCGUUUGAGGCCCUGCUGUGGCCCCCCGCUGCAGGGUUAUAGGUAGACCCCCGACAGGC